rnacentral:lncRNA from 1 species
AAGGGCAAAUGUCCAAAAUAGCAUAUUUCUAAGUUUAUAUCACAAAAAUAGCACUCAAAAACUAAAAUGACCAAAAUAGCACCUUUCUAAGUUUAUAUCUUAUCUCCAAAACCUCAUUUCUCAAUUCUAAACCCUAAACCCUAAACUCUAAACCCUAAACCCUAAACCUAAACCCUAAACUCUAAACCCUAAACCCUAAUUCCUAAACCCCACCCUUUAACUCUAAACCCUAAGUUUGUGACUUUUG